rnacentral:rRNA from 1 species
UACGUAGGUGGCAAGCGUUGUCCGGAUUUAUUGGGCUUAAAGGGUGCGUAGGCGGCUUUGUAAGUCUGCGGUGAAAUACUCUAGCUCAACUAGAGGGGUGCCAUUGAUACUGCAGAGCUUGAGUACAGAUGAGGUAGGCGGAAUUGACGGUGUAGCGGUGAAAUGCAUAGAUAUCGUCAAGAACACCGAUAGCGAAGGCAGCUUACUGGGCUGUAACUGACGCUGAUGCACGAAAGUGUGGGGAUCAAACAGG